GUUGUGUGUUGUAAGGGCACAUGGUGGAUGCCUUGGCAUGCUAAGCCGAUGAAGGACGUGGAAGGCUGCGUUAUGCCUCGGGGAGUUGUCAAUCGAGCGUUGAUCCGAGGAUGUCCGAAUGGGGAAACCCGGCUGUGGUUAUUCGCAGUCACCUGCUGGUGAAUUUAUAGUCAGUAUGGGGGUUACGCGGGGAAGUGAAACAUCUCAGUACCCGUAGGAGAAGGAAACAAUAGUGAUUUCGUUAGUAGCGGCGAGCGAACGCGAAUGUUGGCUAAACUGCAUGUGUGUGAUACCUGGUAGGGGUUGCAUGUGUGGGGUUGUUGGGAGCAAUUGUUCAGUCACUACCAUGGCUGUGCUGGUGCGUGCGUGUUAGGUGAAGUGGUUUGGAAUGGCCCACCGGAGUAGGUGAGAGUCCUGUAGUUGAAGGCAUGUGCGUGUUGGUUGUUGUUUCCCGAGUAGCGGCGGGCUCGUGGAAUCUGCCGUGAAUCUGCCGGGACCACCCGGUAAGCCUAAAUACUUAGUGUGACCGAUAGCGGAUAGUACCGUGAGGGAAUGGUGAAAAGUACCCCGGGAGGGGAGUGAAAUAGUUCCUGAAACCAUGUGCUUACAAUCCGUCAGAGCACCUUUUGUUGUGUGAUGGCGUGCCUUUUGAAGAAUGAGCCUGCGAGUCAGCGGCAUGUCGCGAGGUUAACCCGUGUGGGGUAGUCGUAGCGAAAGCGAAUCCUAAUUAGGGUGUUGUAGUGGCAUGUCCUGGACCCGAAGCGGGGUGAUCUACCCAUGGCCAGUGUGAAGCAGCUGUAAGAGGUUGUGGAGGCGCGAACCCACGUAGGUUGAAAACUGCGGGGAUGAGCUGUGGGUAGGGGUGAAAGGCCAAUCAAACUCCGUGAUAGCUGGUUCUCCCCGAAAUGCAUUUAGGUGCAGCGUCGUAGGUUAGCUUGGUGGAGGUAGAGCUACUGUUUGGUUGAGCGGGACUAUCAUCUUAGCAACAUCAGACAAACUCCGAAUGCCAUUGAAGUGUUCUACGGCAGUGAGACUGUGGGGGAUAAGCUUCAUAGUCGAGAGGGAAACAGCCCAGAUCGCCGGCUAAGGCCCCUAAGGGUGUACUAAGUGGAAAAGGAUGUGGGAUCGCGAUGACAGCCAGGAGGUUGGCUUAGAAGCAGCCAUCCUUGAAAGAGUGCGUAAUAGCUCACUGGUCGAGUGGUUCUGCGCCGACAAUGUAGUGGGGCUCAAGUACACCGCCGAAGCCGCGGCAACUAUUUUUAGUUGGGUAGGGGAGCGUCGUGCAUGAGGUGAAGCAUGAGUGUGAACACGUGUGGAUUGUGUGCGAGUGAGAAUGCAGGCAUGAGUAACGAAUUGUAAGGUGAGAAUCCUUACCGCCGGAUGACUAAGGGUUCCUGGGUCAAGUUCGUCUUCCCAGGGUGAGUCGGGACCUAAGGCGAGGCCGACAGGCGUAGUCGAUGGAUAACCAGUUGAUAUUCUGGUACCCGAGUGUGUGCGUCAAUGGUAAAGCAGUGAUACUAACCACGUGUGAGACUCAUUGAUUAUGCUCUUUGAGUGUGUUGAUGGGUUGAGUUUGUGGGGCCUGAUCUGUGGUCCAAGUGAUGGGGUGACGCAGUGGGGCAGCCACGCCGCUUAUUGGAUUGU
rnacentral:ncRNA from 1 species